UACGGAGGGUGCAAGCGUUGCUCGGAAUUACUGGGCGUAAAGGGCUCGUAGGUGGCCAACUAAGUCAGACGUGAAAUCCCUCGGCUUAACCGGGGAACUGCGUCUGAUACUGGAUGGCUUGAGUUUGGGAGAGGAAUGCGGAAUUCCGGGUGUAGUGGUGAAAUGCGUAGAGAUCCGGAGGAACCCCAGAGGCGAAGGCGGCGCUCUGGCUCGCAACUGACGCUCAGACACGACAGCAUGGGGAGCGAACGGG
rnacentral:rRNA from 1 species